rnacentral:misc_RNA from 1 species
GAUGAAGAACGUAGCGAAAUGCGAUAAGUAAUGUGAAUUGCAGAAUUCAGUGAAUCAUCGAAUCUUUGAACGCACAUUGCGCCCGCCAGUAUUCUGGCGGGCAUGCCUGUUCGAGCGUCAUUUCAACCAUCAAGCCCCCGGGCCUGUGUUGGGGACCUGCGGCUGCCCGCAGGCCCCGAAAACCAGUGGCGGGCUCGCUGUCACCCCGAGCGUAGUAGCAACACCUCGCCCAGGGAGUGCCGCGGGCACCGGCCGUAAAACCUCCUCUCGCCCCCCCCCGCGGGAGGGAACACCCCAAAGGUUGACCUCGGAUCAGGUAGGAAGACCCGCUGAACUUAAGCAUAUCAAUAGCGGAGGA